CCAAUAGCGUAUAUUAAAGUUGUUGCAGUUAAAAAGCUCGUAGUUGAAUUUCGGGAUCAAUUUGCUGGUCGUGCCUUCGGUACGCACUGGUAUUAUUGGUUUCUCCUUUCUGAUGAAUCGCGAUGUCAUUAAUUUGGUGUCGUGGGGAAUCAGGACCGUUACUUUGAAAAAAUUAGAGUGUUUAAAGCAGGCUCACGCUUGAAUACAUUAGCAUGGAAUAAUGAAAUAGGACGUUUGAUUCUAUUUUGUUGGUUUCUAGGAUCGACGUAAUGAUUAAUAGGGAGAGUUGGGGGCAUUAGUAUUCAAUUGUCAGAGGUGAAAUUCUUGGAUUUAUUGAAGACUAACUACUGCGAAAGCAUUUGCCAAGGAUGUUUUCAUUAAUCAAGAACGAAAGUUAGGGGAUCGAAGACGAUCAGAUACCGUCGUAGUCUUAACCAUAAACUAUGCCGACUAGGGAUCGGAUGAUGUUAAUUUUUUAAUGACUCAUUCGGCGCCUUACG
rnacentral:rRNA from 1 species